CUCAGGACCCGCGCCCCCCGCCCCUACAGAGGCCCGAGCGAUGACUCUGGCUCCGAGCCUGGCACCCGGGAUGCGGAGCGAGCUCGGGGACCUGAGGGGUGAGGGCUGGCCCUGCCUUGCGCCGGCUCCUGUGGCGAGAGCAUCAGCCGCUUCAAGCCAGAGGGCAGGGGAGCCGGGAGAAGCAGAGCCCGAGGCGGUCUGAAGGUCAGUAGGCAGCACGGGCCCGGCCACCGGGAUGUGACUGGCUCAGGCAGGUGGUCACCCUGUUCUCUCCUCUGCAGCAGUGCCAACUGUCAGGGAACACGGCGGCCCAGCGAGGGCGGACCGGGCCAAGCCCUCGGCUGCUGUCACGGGGACUCUGCAGCUCCCACGGUUGCGACUGGCUUAGCCAAGAGAGAGGACAGGAGCCGGAGUAUCUGCAGCCCGUCUGGUCCGGUGCCUCGGCCCCUGACUGCAAGGACAGGAGCACGCCGUGUGGAUGCAAGGAGGCUGAGGACCCAUCUGUUCAGCCCCUCUGGCGAUAAGCCCUGGAACCCUGGGUUCCCAGAGCACCGCAGGAGGCACUGGACAGCGUGUGGCAAUCUGCUCACUGACCCUGAGCCCGCGUUCCCUCUGCCUGCGGACACACGGCCAUCCAGAGGCCACAUUUUCCAGUUCCCGUUGUGGCCACAUGGCUGAGCUCGCUGCAGAGGUGGUCGUGACAGGUAGCAGGGAGCGAGACAGGAACCGGGGCUCCUUCAUGACCUCAAGAAACACAAGGAGUGUCCCAGCGACCCAGGCCUCUGGGUCACUGGGUGAGACACACCCAGCUCCUCAGUUUCUACCACCGUGUGCGGUGAGUCUGCUCCUCACCCCCCGAGCCUCACAGAUCACGGUGUGGUCGGGAAAGCCCUGUGCAGGGGAGAUGCAGGUGAGGUCUGGUUUAGGAAAACAAGAAAAUGCAAAAUGCACAGUGGGCCCUGCCAUCCACAUGGCUUCCAAAGGCAAAACUGAGGGAAGGUAUUUAGUUAAAGGAAGGUAGAGUUUUUUGUUUUGGUUUUGGUCUUUUGUCUUUUUAAGGCUGCACCUGCGGCAUAUGGAGGUUCCCAGGCUAGGGGUCGAAUUGGAGCUACGGCCGCCAGCCUACACCACAGCCACAGCCAC